CGAAGCAACGCGAAGAACCUUACCAGGUCUGCAUCCGAUGCUAUUUCUAGAGAUAGAAAGUUACUUCGGUACAUCGGUGACAGGUGGUGCAUGGUUGUCGUCAGCUCGUGUCGUGAGAUGUUGGGUUAAGUCCCGCAACGAGCGCAACCCCUAUUGUUAGUUGCCAUCAUUCAGUUGGGCACUCUAGCGAGACUGCCGGUAAUAACCGGAGAAGUGGGGAUGACGUCAAAUCAUCAUGCCCCUUAUGACCUGGGCUACACACGUGCUACAAUGGUUGGUACAACGAGUUGCGAGUCGGUGACGGCGAGCUAAUCUCUUAAAGCCAAUCUCAGUUCGGAUUGUAGGCUGCAACUCGCCUACAUGAAGUCGGAAUCGCUAGUAAUCGCGGAUCAGCACGCCGCGGUGAAUACGUUCCCGGGCCUU
rnacentral:rRNA from 1 species